GACGAACGCUGGCGGCGUGCCUAAUACAUGCAAGUUGAGCGAUGAAGAUUGGUGCUUGCCCCAAUUUGAAGAGCAGCGAACGGGUGAGUAACGCGUGGGGAAUCUGCCUUUGAGCGGGGGACAACAUUUGGAAACGAAUGCUAAUACCGCAUAACAACUUUAAACAUAAGUUUUAAGUUUGAAAGAUGCAAUUGCAUCACUCAAAGAUGAUCCCGCGUUGUAUUAGCUAGUUGGUGAGGUAAAGGCUCACCAAGGCGAUGAUACAUAGCCGACCUGAGAGGGUGAUCGGCCACAUUGGGACUGAGACACGGCCCAAACUCCUACGGGAGGCAGCAGUAGGGAAGCUUCGGCAAUGGACGAAAGUCUGACCGAGCAACGCCGCGUGAGUGAAGAAGGUUUUCGGAUCGUAAAACUCUGUUGGUAGAGAAGAACGUUGGUGAGAGUGGAAAGCUCAUCAAGUGACGGUAACUACCCAGAAAGGGACGGCUAACUACGUG
rnacentral:rRNA from 1 species